GAUGAACGCUGGCGGCGUGCCUAAUACAUGCAAGUCGAGCGAACAGACGAGGAGCUUGCUCCUCUGACGUUAGCGGCGGACGGGUGAGUAACACGUGGAUAACCUACCUAUAAGACUGGGAUAACUUCGGGAAACCGGAGCUAAUACCGGAUAAUAUAUUGAACCGCAUGGUUCAAUAGUGAAAGACGGUUUUGCUGUCACUUAUAGAUGGAUCCGCGCCGCAUUAGCUAGUUGGUAAGGUAACGGCUUACCAAGGCAACGAUGCGUAGCCGACCUGAGAGGGUAAUCGGCCACACUGGAACUGAGACACGGUCCAAACCCCUACGGGAGGCAGCAGUAGGGAAUCUUCCGCAAUGGGCGAAAGCCUGACGGAGCAACGCCGCGUGAGUGAUGAAGGUCUUCGGAUCUUAAAACUCUGUUAUUAGGGAAGAACAAAUGUGUAAGUAACUAUGCACGUCUUGACGGUACCUAAUCAGAAAGCCACGGCUAACUACGUG
rnacentral:rRNA from 1 species